GUCGACAUCUUUGAGAAAAGUACAGAAAAAGGAUUUUUUUUCUAAAAAAGGCUUUGUCUUAAUAAACUUAUUUAGUUUCAAGUAACAAUAGCAUUAAUUUGUUAUCAAUUAAUUGAAUACACAAUGAUUGUAUUGAUGAAAAAAAAUGUUUACAUAAUCUGAAAAAUUAAAUUGAAAUAGAAUAUAGAUGCCAACGUGAAAUUUUAAUGUUAUUCAAAACAUAAACAAUGAAUGAAAAUGACAAAAUACAUCGGAAAUCGUUUUUAAGAAAAGCUCCAUAAUAAUCGAUCUAAAUAUGGAAGUAUUAUAUAAUACAUUUUGUACUUCCAUGAUCUUAACUGCCAUAUAAACACAAAUGUGUCAAUAUUUACAUAGUAUAUAAGCGUCCCAUGGGGCCACGACAAAUCCUUUCCAGUGCUGUAUCCCAAAUUAAUACCAUAUGUUGCUAUUUUAUCUUAUCAUGGAAGUAUUAUAUUGAAAAUAAAGUAUUUCACACACAGGCUCUUAUUGAGUGCCCCCCUUUUUUUUCAUUUUAUUUUGGUUAAGUUUUAUUUGAAAAUAUUCUUUUCAUAUUUCAUUUUUUUUCUUUCUUGUAUAACUCUUAUUCUGGCGAUAUAACC
rnacentral:lncRNA from 1 species